UACGUAGGGUGCAAGCGUUGUCCGGAAUUAUUGGGCGUAAAGAGCUCGUAGGCGGUCUGUUGCGUCUGCUGUGAAAACUCGGGGCUUAACCCCGAGCCUGCAGUGGAUACGGGCAGACUAGAGGUAGGUAGGGGAGAAUGGAAUUCCCGGUGUAGCGGUGAAAUGCGCAGAUAUCGGGAGGAACACCGGUGGCGAAGGCGGUUCUCUGGGCCUUACCUGACGCUGAGGAGCGAAAGCGUGGGGAGCGAACAGGAUUAGAUACCC
rnacentral:rRNA from 1 species